UACGUAGGGUGCAAGCGUUAAUCGGAAUUACUGGGCGUAAAGCGUGCGCAGGCGGUUUUGUAAGUCCUGACGUGAAAUCCCCGGGCUCAACCUGGGAAUUGCGUUGGAGACUGCAAGGCUAGAAUCUGGCAGAGGGGGGGUAGAAUUCCGACGUGUAGCAGUGAAAUGCGUAGAGAUGUGGAGGAACGACCGGAUGGCGAAGGCAGCCCC
rnacentral:rRNA from 1 species